GUGUCCAAUUCUUUGCGAUUUUUUUUUUUUUUAAUUUGGUCUACAUUACAGAAAAGUUGGGUUGUGGAGAGCAAAAGAGAAAAAGAAUGCCAUGGAGGAUAACUGAAAAGAAAAGAUGGCAGUGAAGAGGAAGGAGUUAAGUGGAGCCACAGUGUCAUGUCGCAGUCAAACCAUCUGGACCUGGUGUAUGCAGGAGACAACUCUGGGUAGCCACCAGCAUACUUGAUCCUAGGGCUACCCUGCUUAGAAGAAAGCUGAAACAGACUCAGCAAUGCUUUGCUGUCUUGGCUUUCAGGGUUGUUGACUCAGCUGACUUCCUAGAUGCUUGUUUUAACCCACCCUUCCCACCAGGUAAGCUCUGCCUGACUUCCUAGACAUUUGACUCUUUCAUCAGUUUUUCUUACUUCAGAUACUUACUUGAAGUUUCAAGGGUCUGGGUCCUCAGUUCUUCCUGUCAUCUGAUGGCCUUUGCCUAAACACACUGAUCCUGUAACCAUCAUGCUCUCAUAAAGCAAUUCACACUACAUUUCAUGAACACCUGUUUUAUACAAAGUACUAUACUAAGCAUUUUGGGGAUGAUAAAGAACUUGAGAUGUGGCUUUGAUAAUUAGGAGGUUUCAGUGUUGUGGGGGAUGUAAAUAUAUAUAAUGAGGUGAUGAUGACAAACAUUUAUGAGUGUGGAGGGAAAUCUGGGGCUCUGAUUUUUGUAAUAAUGACCUACUUAGUCCCACUAGCUCUGGACUAGCAUUUUAUAGAUUUUUUCCUAAAGGUUCUUUUUUGUGCUAUUCAAUAUUUAGCCUUUGUUGUUUCUUCUGAUUAUGAAGUAAUAGAUAUUCAUUGUAGAAAACAUGGGAAAAGUAGAAAAAACAUAAAGAACAAAAAAAACUACUCAUAAUCUUAUCAUCUAGAGAUGGAAUGUUUCUAUUAAUGUUUGAGUGUAUUUUUUCUUAUUCUUUAAAAAAAGUUUUAUUGUUGGCAUUUCCCCACAUCAUUAAUAUUCUUUGGAAGAAUGUUUUUAAAUAGCUGAAUGGAAUUGAUGUUUCACCGUUUAUAUACUGGCCCUCUAAUGUUGAGUCUUUUCCUAUUUUAAUAGCUAGAUUCUUCCUUGCUUGAGCUUCACAGGCCCAGAGUUGAGACUGUUCUAAGAUACCUGGGGUAGAGUAGUGUUUCAUAAAAAUGGAGCUGUGUCCACAUGGGGUACACUUGGGUGAGAGGGGUGCAACCCCCUGAGACAUAAAUGACAGCAUGUAAUCUGUGCUCCUUCUCAGCUCGCACAUGCAUGAGCAUAGUAGAUACCACACCUAGAAAGUCAAAGAGGCGCUUGUUAUAUAUUUGAAAAGCUGCUUACCAUUACUACUAGACCAAGGAACUUUG
rnacentral:lncRNA from 1 species